rnacentral:rRNA from 1 species
AGUUUGAUUAUGGCUCAGGACGAACGCUGGCGGCGUGCCUAACACAUGCAAGUCGUACGAGGACGGUCUUCGGACCGAGCCGAGUGGCGGACGGGUGAGUAACACGUGACCAAUCUGCCUUCGAGAGGGGGAUAACCUGGGGAAACUCGGGCUAAUACCGCAUGACGUGUCGUGCUCGCAUGGGCGUGACACCAAAGGAAGGCCUCUACUUGUAAGCUUUCGCUCGAAGAGGAGGUCGCGGCGUAUCAGCUAGUUGGUAGGGUAACGGCCUACCAAGGCGACGACGCG